rnacentral:rRNA from 1 species
UACGUAGGUGGCAAGCGUUGUCCGGAUUUACUGGGCGUAAAGAGCGCGCAGGCGGUCGUUCAAGUCGAGUGUGAAAGCCCCCGGCUCAACUGGGGAGGGUCACUCGAUACUGAUCGACUCGAAGGCAGAAGAGGGAAGCGGAAUUCCCGGUGUAGUGGUGAAAUGCGUAGAUAUCGGGAGGAACACCGGUGGCGAAGGCGGUUCUCUGGGCCUUACCUGACGCUGAGGAGCGAAAGCGUGGGGAGCGAACAGG